GACGAACGCUGGCGGCGUGCCUAAUACAUGCAAGUCGAACGGAAAGGCCCUGCUCUUGCGGGGUGCUCGAGUGGCGAACGGGUGAGUAACACGCGAGUAACCUGCCCUUGUCUUUGGGAUAACUUCAGGAAACAGGGGCGAAUACCGGGUAGGAGCUCUUGCUGCACGGUGGGGGUUGGAAAGUUUCGGCGGUAGGGGAUGGACUCGCGGCUUAUCAGCUAGUUUGUGGGGUAGUGGCGUACCAAGGCUUCGACGGAUAGCCGGCAUGGGAGGGUGACCAGCCACAUUACGCCUGAGAGAGGCAGCAGUCUCCAACCGUACGCAGCAGUCGAGAGUCUUGCGCAGCGGCCGGGCGCGUGUGACGAAGGCCUCCCGUGCGGAAUACCCGGUUUCGAGUUAUGAACAAAUGUGGCCGGAAACGUGCCCGGAGUGACGGUAAUUAGUCAGAAAGCCCCGGCUAACUACGUG
rnacentral:rRNA from 1 species